UCAAGUUUGACGAUAAGGGGAUUAAUGUUAUGCCGGGGUGGAUAACUUUAUCAUGGCUGCCAUUGGAUUGUUGGUAUCCAAACACUUUGGGGAAGAUUGCCUUCAAAGUUGGAAAACCAAUAAAUUUGGAUAAGCUCACAUCAAUUAAGGCUCCACUUCCGUAUGCAAGAGAUCUUCUUGAAAUCGAUGCUUCUUUGGAUUUAGAUUUAGACUAGUCGGUCAAGAUAAAAUUGCCGACUGGAAAGUUGAGAGAUCAGCUUGCUUUUUAUGAACAUGAUCCUAAAUUUUGCUCAACUUGCAAAAUAUUUGGCCACUCAACUCUUGGUUGCAAUCCAAAAAAACAAUAUUGCAUGUGAUAAAGGUAAUCCCAGCAUGAUUAACGCACCAACGAACUCUGGCUAUUGCUAUUCAAAACCAAAAAACAGGUAAGUUGUGGAGCAGCCAAUUGUAUCAAGUGUUAUUAGCUAGGACAAAGAUGGAACAGGUGAUAAGCAUCAAGAAGGUGUGCAAGAAGUUCCAUUAUGUGACAUGUUUAUAAAGAAGAAAUACAACAACAUUUGAAAGUGAUAGAUUGCAGGAAAAUGUAACCAGCAGAAUGGGGUGUCUGACCACAGGGACCACCCAACUGGGAAUGGAGAUUUUGAAGGCCCUAAGUCGAAGGCAACCUCUAACGAAAAGCUCAAAGGGAAACUCGAUGAGCUAUGAACUGUAGCAACCAGAAAAGACAAAACGGAGAACUCUGUGCAUAUUUCUUCAAGAAACUAGCAACGGGAUUAGACACUUCAUGUUCUUGAUUUAUCGAAGUUGUAAUGUUUGAUUCAUUUUGAGUCUCUUGCUUUGGGCCAUUAGAUCUUUUGUAAUGUUUGUUUUGUAAGCCUGGAUAUGUCCG
rnacentral:lncRNA from 1 species